rnacentral:rRNA from 1 species
UCCUACGGGAGGCAGCAGUGGGGAAUUUUGGACAAUGGGGGCAACCCUGAUCCAGCCAUGCCGCGUGUGUGAAGAAGGCCUUCGGGUUGUAAACCCCUUUUGGCGGGGACGAUGAUGACGGUACCCGCAGAAGAAGCCCCGGCUAACUCUGUGCCAGCAGCCGCGGUA